GAAGUAGAGGUGCAUUAAAUAUCAGUAGUGAUAGCCAGGGUGAUUCCGCUUAUCUAUCAUGAAAGGAUUUGAUGCCGAAGUAGUAAAUGCACAUCACGGCUUACUGCUGGGGCUGCCAUCGAAUAGGUGCAGCACUGCCAUAGUAUUUCUUAUCUUGACGAUAAGAAGAUUUAUACCUUUUAACAUAUGGUAUUACUAUGGAGCGCUACUGA
rnacentral:ncRNA from 1 species